rnacentral:rRNA from 1 species
UACGAAGGGGGCUAGCGUUGUUCGGAAUCACUGGGCGUAAAGGGCGCGUAGGCGGCCCUCUUAGUCGCGUGUGAAAGCCCCGGGCUCAACCUGGGAACGGCGCGCGAAACGGGAGGGCUGGAGUUCGGGAGAGGAGAGUGGAAUUCCCAGUGUAGAGGUGAAAUUCGUAGAUAUUGGGAAGAACACCGGUGGCGAAGGCGGCUCUCUGGACCGAGACUGACGCUGAGGCGCGAAAGCGUGGGGAGCAAACAGG